GUGGGGAAUCUUAGACAAUGGGGGAAACCCUGAUCUAGCCAUGCCGCGUGAUCGAUGAAGGCCUUAGGGUUGUAAAGAUCUUUCAGCUGGGAAGAUAAUGACGGUACCAGCAGAAGAAGCCCCGGCUAACUCCGUGCCAGCAGCCGCGGUAAUACGGAGGGGGCUAGCGUUAUUCGGAAUUACUGGGCGUAAAGCGCACGUAGGCGGAUCAGAAAGUCAGAGGUGAAAUCCCAGGGCUCAACCUUGGAACGGCCUUUGAAACUCCUGGUCUUGAGUUCGAGAGAGGUGAGUGGAAUUCCGAGUGUAGAGGUGAAAUUCGUAGAUAUUCGGAGGAACACCAGUGGCGAAGGCGGCUCACUGGCUCGAUACUGACGCUGAGGUGCGAAAGCGUGGGGAGCAAACAGGAUUAGAUACCCCUGUAGUCC
rnacentral:rRNA from 1 species